UUCCAAAUGCGGUAGCCGCACACGCCUUCGUUUUUGAAACCUUUAUUUUGAAUCUGAGACUCUCUCUCUCAACUCUUAUACGCACACAUCUCUCUCUCUCUCUCUCUCAACUCUCUCUAAUCUCCAUCGAUGAUUCAGGUCAAAGCUCCAUCGCAGCGAUUUCAAAGCUCCAUCGCCAGCACCAUCUGCACCGGCGAGAGAUGCAGAGAUUCAGUGAUUUCCAGAAGCUCAGAUCUAAACUACGAUCGAUCUCUGGCGAUGGCGCAGAUGGAGGUGGUGGCGCCGUACGCCCUCAAGAACACCUCGAGUUAGUGGGAUCAAAUUGACGAGUCCCCCAUUUGGCAGAAUCGAAUAUUUCACGUCCUCGCUGUUCUCUACGGCAUUGUCGCCGCUGUUGCUCUGUGAGAAGAGGGAAUGGGUUGAACUAUCAAGAUCGGCCCCUUUAUUGAUCCUGUAGUUUGGGACAAAAUAGUAAUGCUUAUGUUUUGAUCGGAGUACAAGAGUCUUUUGUGAAGGCAUGGUGAGUGAGAUUGCUGACUUUGAGACUGUUAGGGAUAUCAAAGAGAAGCUUUGCUACAUAAGGUUAUCCUUUUGAAAGCAAUCUGUGAUCUGUGCUGUUGCUUUCCACUUGAUAGUGCAAAGGCACAAUUUAUUCAUGUCGUAGAUUGCCUAACAUUCCUAGUCAAUUUGUAGAACAUUUCUACUUGAUUUAAUGCCGGGCCCAAAUUUCUUCGUUACUUUGAUAGUGGAAGCACAGGAAGCAGUGGCGGCAAUAGAAGCAGACAAUAAGUGCUAGCCAUGGAUGAUUUUGUGCGACCAAGGUGAACGAUUUGCAGGUUUCCUUCAAAGUUGCAGAUGCUUUAAAUAAACCAGAAUCUGGAUGUUGUUAAGGUACAUCCAAGACAAUAACUAACUAACUAUAACCGUCUCACUACUAUCCGUACCAUACACAUCAUCCACAACUUGUGAGUAAAUCUAUCACCAUCCAUUUAUGUACUACUACUCAAUCUCAAAUCACAACAUCAUGUAUGUCAACGGUAACUGAUUUAAUCAUGACCUAGCCCACACCAAAGAAAACAUAGUAGUGUCUCUCCCCAUUUCUCUCCAUUCCCAGCUCUUCAAAUACUCUCUCUCUCUCUCUCUCCAUUUUGAAGCUCUUGAAACAUUCUCUCUGAAGAAUAGCUCGAGUUACUAUUGCACUAAGUGUGUUGGUUUUGCUAAUGGCAACUCUGAUCAUCUCUGUUGGAUCUUUGAGAUCUUCGUAGGACAAUCACCGCUACAAGGAAGGAGAUCACAUCCCAUUGUUGGCUAGCACAGUUUAUCCUUUGAAUAAUAAAUGUGCGGCGAUCCCAUACUUUAAACUGCCCUUCUGCCCCCCAGGAUGUAAGAAAUUAAAUUUAAGGAAAAUUGUUGAUGUUGUUUUGUACAUGUAUGCUACUAAAUAUUUGCUACCUACUUAAUAAAUAUGUGUGCCUACAAUAUUAACUACACGACAAAAGAGUCAUUCUUUAGAUUUACACGAGUGUAAUACUUAUAGGCACAAAAUAUAGAAUAUUUAUCAAACUAUGAAUGUCUUCAAAAGCCAUGUAUCUGCGUGUUUGUUUAUGUGUGCAUCAAAAUUUUAUUGGAUUUUAUUUGAUGGACCCGCAGAGUAAAUAGAGACAAAAAUAUGAGUUUAUGUUCUGCAGCUCCAAUAACAAAUAGGAGGAAAACCUUGGAAGAAGUAUUAGAGGGUGACUGCUUUUGUGAGAAGAACCUGACCAAAGAAGAAGUUGCGUAGUUUAGGCAUGUAGUCCGCAAUAACUUUGAAUACAAGAUGUACCAUAACAACAUCCAAAUUCUGGGUAUAAUUAGUUUGAAUUGUAUCUUUUGUGCCGGUCUGUUUUGUAAUAACUUUGAACUUACCACUAGGCACUAGUUUAACUUUAUUUCAUCUUGGAAUUGAAAUAUUUUUGCAUAUUGAGAAGUAUGAAUUGAUCCAAUAUUAUGUUUACCUAAAUUUAGUCAAUAUAUUGAAUAUUUUUCAUCUUUAUACAGGUAUUUUUUUUUAGUUAAAUUUCACAGAAUUAGUACAAUUUCAAAAAAAAAAAAAUGAAGCUAUAACGACGUUUUUAAAUGCUACUAUAGAAUAAUGCCAACGGUUAUAUUUUUAAAAUAGAAAAGAUCUAUCACGGUGUUUUUAAAACGUCGCUAAAUGUAGUGUGACGUCAUUGUACUGUUUUGUAGCACAUUUAGCGGCAUUUUAAAAAACGUCGCCCAUACUAAUAUAGCAAAGCUUUUAAAGUGUCAUAAAGUCAUAACGAUGGUUGCAUCUUCGGCGUUUGGUACUAAACGUCAGAAAAAUAAUUAGCAGUGUUUUUCAUAGCUAUAGUGGCGUUUUUUAAACGCCACUAAAAACCUAAUUUCCAGCAUUGUGGGGACUACUGAUUAAAUGAUGUAUAUGAAAAAAAUAGGUCAUGUGUGAUUUAACUAACCACUAUUUCUUGUUCAGUUCUUUUCUUUAUAUUGUUGCAUUUCUAUGCGAGGAACAUAGGAGGAACGGUUUUAGAUAAUAUAUUU